UAUAUAUAUAUAUAUAUAUAUAUAUGUGUGUGUGUGUGUGUGUGUGUGUGUGUGUGUGUUUUUAUUAGUUUUUUUUUCUUUUUUCCUAAUUCGGGAUUAAAAUAUCCCGAUCGGGAUUGAACCAAUUCCCGAAUCCCGAUCCCGUAUUUGUUCCUAAUCCCGAUCCCGAAUUCCCGAAAUUUUAAUCCCAAAUAGUAAAAUUCUAAUCGGGACGGGACGGGAUCCCGAAUCCCGAUCCCAAAGUCCCAGCCCUAUAAUUUACUAUUAACAGUUGUUAGAAAGUUUUAGUAGAAAUUCGGUACGGUAUGAUAUAACAAUAGAUCUGACUCACUCGGCAAUUCCAUGAUAAAACAAAAAAAAAAAAAAAAAAUAUCCCCUAAAUAUGAUUGUUUAUAGUGUUAAGGGCUAGAGCCCAAAUAUGAACUGCAUCAGAAUAUACAUAAGGCCCAAUUACACAUUUAUCCAGCAAGAACAAUUGAAUAAUUCUCGUCUAAACCCUAGCCAAAAACCUCACAAUUGUGAACUCAUUUCUAACAUUCUCGCUCUAAUCCUGUUAAUCUGUACAUCUCUACAGCACGAAUUUCGCGUGAGCUGUGAAAAAAUGGCCGCAAAGUUUAAAGAGCUGUUAAAAAAAUACGGUAAAGUAGGAUUGGGCGUACAUUUCGCAGUCUCCGCCGCCUCCGUCACCGGACUUUACGUCGCCAUCAAGAGCAACGUCGACGUUGAAUCGAUGCUUGAAAAGUUCGGCAUGCCUAGCCUCGUCAAGGAGAAGGAAACCACCCCCGCCCCCGCUGAUCUGCUAUCGGAAGAUCUCGGGACGACCGUUGGAUCCAAUUCGGGAUUUAGAAGCGAUCUGACGGUGGAGAAGGAGAAGAAUCGGACGACUGAGCUGGCGGCGUCGAGCGGCGGUGCUUUGGCUUUGGCGGUGCUGCUUAAUAAGGCGCUUUUUCCGGUUAGGGUUCCGAUCACGUUAGCGAUUACACCGCCUUUGGCGAGGUUCCUUGCUAAGAGAAAUCUUAUUAAGAACGUGUGAGACUGUGAUUGCUUAGUUUUUCUCUGUUAAUUUAUUUUGAGUUUUUUUUUGCUCUUAAAAUAAAAUUCAGCAGCUUCAAGCUAACACUUAAUUGUGCAAAUUUGGAACGAAAGCAGGGAUUAACGGGUUCGUAAAUCUUAAUUCAUACUUAAGAUUUUAGACCUAAAUCUUUGCUAAUGGAAAGUACAUUGUGUACCAAGCAAAUUACAUGCUUCUUUUGUAGAAAAUAUACAACUUUUUUAGCACAAUGUUCGUGCUGUUGCAUCUUUCGUUUUUCCCAUUGCAUAAUGUGGAGUUGAAGUGUGUUGAUGAAUGGGAAUAUACUUUAUUCUUCAAUGAAUUUUGAUCUAUGUUGGGGUUCAAUUUCAAUAUGUUUGGUAUUGUUCAUCGAUGAAUAUUUCGCUUGCAUUUGCUUUAGUUGUCAUUGUUUUAUUAUGAUCGCAAUGCGAAUUAUUAGCUGUUUUCUUGUUUGGGGUUUGUUAUUUGAUAAAUGAAGGGCUAUGCAGAUGAUAAUAAUCGGGAGGUUCUCUCUCGGUUUUAACUCUGUCAAAGCUCCUUGCUUUUUCCCAUGAAUUGAUAUAUGUCGUAGUCGAGUCAUUUUCAUGGUUAUUGCUAACAGUGUCGAUUCUUUAAGAAAAAUGUCUGCCCCUGAAUAUAUUUGGCUUGAAUUUAGUUGCAUUCUUUGGCUUUCAAAUCAUCCGACCGAAGUAAUUAAGAGCUCGUACAGAUUUUCUUGAUUUUGUUACUUGUACUUCUGAAGCUCGACUAUCAGGCUAUGUAUCGAAGCAUUUUGAGGAUGAAUUUUUAUUUUGUUUUCAGAGGAAGGUGUUUUGAGAAAGUAUUGGAGAAAUGUAUUUUACUGUUCGUUUAUAUUUUAGUGGUGAUUACUUUGUUCAGAUUAAUACUCUUUUUCUAUACCGAAAUAUCUGUCGAAUGGAGAACUUUUGUAGUUUCGAUUUUGUCACAACAACUUUCCAAUGGAUGCAGUAAUUUAAUUUUCCUUAGUUAGCCAAUGUAGGUAAUAACCGAAUUGAAGUGCAAACAAACAACAAACAUCACUAAGGAUUUGACAAAGAAAAUAUCUACUCAAAUAAGUGACUCCAAAAUUUAAAUUCUUGUCCAAACAUUGCCUGUAAUAAUACGUUCAACAAAACUACAAUCCAAAUGAAUACAACAACAAAUUUCAUCGAUCUACUCUAAACAAAAAUAUCGACUGCCCGACCAAGAUUUUGCAGCACAAGGACAUACAUAGCCCUCGAAAAAAUAUAACAAUUAAAAAAUGUUUAUAGAAAAUGAAAGCAUGAAGAGAUAUCCUGCCAGAACCAUCACAAGAUCUCCAUAAACUGCUCAUGUUUCUGUAUUGUCAGUUCAAAAAAUUUUACAAUUAAAUGAUUAUAAUAGUUGUAAUUAAACCAGAUUUUUAGACCCCAAAAACGAGCAUUAGAAUAUGGUAUAUCAACAUAUCCCAAAUAAGAAAACACGCCUCCAUGCCGAGACCAGAAUUUCAAUUAAUCCUCGAAGAUUUGCUUUCUUCGAGUAAUACUUUCAGACCAUUGCUACAACUGUACCGGAUUUAGAUGCUCAAAUUCGUGGCAGUUUGCUCCGAUUCCUUGUAAAGCAGAGAAAAGUUUCGGUGCAACUUUAUUAAGCAUAAGCUUGAAACCAACUGAAUUUGAGUCGGUAUUAAUAUCAUUGGUCGAAGCAUCUUUUGCGAGCGAACCGAUGAGGUGUCCUUUCAUAUAAGCAUCACAUGCCUUGAGAAUAUAAAGACCCCUCUUCUUGAAAUGCUCGAUCACAAGUUCUUCAAAAUCCUGCAAAUUUAGAUCCAUGGAUAAUUUUACUUCAGCAAAACAUAUCUGAAAAUUUAGGCCCUCAGAAAAACAAUCCACCCCAAAAAGAAAAUGUUGAGAAAAAUAUUAUUUAAUCACCUUUGGGGGCUUUCGGAUCAGAUACAUCAUUGUCUUACAGUUCAACAAAAACGUAUUUUCAUUGUACGACAAUGAAUUUUUCUCCCCUUCAGCUGUGCCAACUUGCUUAUCAUAUCCAGCUUCGUUGAAGUAUGGCUUGGAAUUUAGUACAAGCCCUUGAAGUGAAACGAGAACUUGAAGAAUGCUCGAUGUUGAAGGAUCCCAAACCUCGUUUCCUCUGCCUGUCCACGUAUUCAAAAGACUAAGACAAACUUUUCCUUCCUCGUAUAAGUUUGGAUUUAUUCGCCACCCUCCAGAGUAAUAGUACGCCGACUAGAAACAUGAGACAGUAAAUUUAGUUUAAGAAUUUAAUAAAAUUAAAUUAAAUAAAAAAUUAAUAUAUUGAAGUUUUCAUACAGGUGGAACAUCUGGAUAGUCUGGUGGAAGAAGAAAAUCGAAGAAGAAAAGUCCAUCUUGGUAAGGUGUGCCGUAAGCUCCAACUAUCACAGCCCUCAAAAGAUCCAUUCUAUCUUCAUAGACACGCACAUAUAUACCAUCUGUUCACAUUACAUUACUACAGCUUUUAAAAAACAUCUCCUAAUAUGUUUCAAAACAAGAAUUAACAUGUAAGAGAAUUAGAAAAAAAAUGACUCGAGCAUACCGGGCAGGUUAUUUUGUAGAAUGUCCCAAUCUUGUUGAACUUUCUUCAGCCAUUUCCUGGCAGCAUUGGCCUGUAAAUAUUUACGCAAACGCUCAGUUACUACUCAGAUUCCUAAAGAAUUUGGGAAACAACAUUUGUAGGUAAAAAAAGAAAGGACAAAAACCUGUCUCUGUGAACCAAGAAAGUAAUGGUCUGAAGGAUCUUGAACAAUAUCGAAGCCUUUGAAUGCCGAAUUAAGCUCUUCUUCAAGUGGAGGAGCAUUUGAUUCUGGUGGUUUUAAGUUGCACAGAGUCUCGGCAAUUUCUAACAAAUCGGAGGACUCAGCAUUAUCAUUUUCCUCCCCUUUACAAUUAGUAGUUAGCUUAGAAAGUCGAUAUUCAAUAUUAUUAGGUUCCUCGGAGCUGGACCCACCAUCUUCUUCACCGUUGAUAUCUGAGUUCAAAUCCGAGUGCUUUUGUCCCCUUGAGAAUAUUCCGGAUGCUAGUCUGGUCAUGAAACCGAUUGCAGCAAGUGGAAUCGAGAGUGCUCCAUUCAUUCCGGAAUUUUCUGCAACGGGAUUCUCAUCUUCAAUCCCGGCCUGGAUUUCACCGGCAUUGUCCUCCCCAUUGCCCUAAAUUCAAUGCGUAUUCACAAUUUUAUCAAACAAAUUAGACAAAUAUAUUCUGCAAGAGAAAGGUGUAUUACAAUCAUGUGCUAACUGCUAAGUAACUGAAUUAAACCUCUCAAGUUGCUUAUUCAAAUAGAUAAAAUAUGCAUCAAAUCCACAAAUUCACCAUAAAGCAUCUCACAUAAGCUCAAUACAAAGGAUUUAAAUAAUAAUGAUGUAAUAGUUGAGAAGAAAGACUGAAUUUUUUCUUUCAACAAAUAAUUUACAAUCCGAUAAAUUGAACUCCACGAUAAUCCAAAACACCAAACAAGAAAGCCUGAAUUAAUUGAGCGUAAAAAAAUAUACUGUUCUAUUAGCCAAUUUUUUUACCUCCUGAAUAUUACCGACACUAUCCAUGUCAUCUUCCACAGUUUCCCAGCUAGCUGCAUCAUCACUGUCAUCACUUCCACCUGCAACUGAUUCAUCAUCAUCUCGACCAACGACAUAUAUUGCUUGAGGACCAACCUGAUAUAACAACAACAGAGUUUACAAUAAAAUCCAAAUUAACAUAUAUAUAUAUAUAUAUAUAUAUAUAUAUAUAUAUAUAUAUAUAUAUAUAUAUAUAUAUAUAUAUAUAUAUAUGAUGGCUGCAGAAUAACUACCGUGGAUACCAUCCCAUCCGCCCAAGUAACUUCUAUAUCACCAUCUUUCAGCGCUGUGAUAUUCCCUACCCAAGACAAAUCCGAAAACUCAUUGGACGUGUCUUGUGUAUUAUCCUUUUCAUUUUGCUCCCCCUUUUCAUGUUCGGGUGUAUUUUCGACAGAGUGUGAAACAGAAUCCAUAUCGGCUGGUAAAGAAAUAGGAGACAGCCUAACAACUACGUCUCCAUAACAAUAAUCAUAGUCAGGAUGUCCUUCCAGCUCAUAAACACUCACCACUUCUUCCUGAUCAAAUUCUCUAGGGUCAUCUGCCCUCAAAACGGGCUUCAACCACCGAAUAUUAGCCGUUCGAUCUUUCGCAUUGACACUUUUCACAACACCCACACGUCUUGUCUCAGUAGGGUCGUCACUGUCAACAGCCUUCUCCACUACGUACUGUUCCGCAACAAAUUCGUGGUCACCAGGACUGUCAAUGGGAAUUAAAGAAGUCGAAUCCAGGCCCCGUUUUAUCGUCCCAUCCUGCCAGGCGACAUCGACUUUUGUCUUGGUGUUGAUGAUUAAAAGGGCUCUUUCGAAGUUUUCGACUUUCUUACGGACUUUCUUUUCCUUUUUCACCACCACUUUACGGAUCUUUUUACGGUGAAGGGGCACUGAAGUAUUGCAUGAUCUUUCUGCAGGUGUGUUGUGAUCUGGUAUUCCACCAGUUUUGUUCAAGGAAGCGUCUGAAUCGUUCUCCAUGGAUGCCACUUCUGCAUCAGAAUCAUCGCCAUUUUCAGUAGUGGAGUCAUGUUCUUCCUUAGUAGAAACUGGUUUUGAUACUUCCUUAUUUAACAGUGUGAAUGAGGAUGACUCUAAGCAUGAAGGAGGUAAACACCAAUCACCCAACUGCCAAUUUGUGUGCGCGAAACAAGACAAUAGCUUUAAAUUCUUCGGAGUCUGCUCUUCAUCUGGUGUAGUAGCGGAAUCAGGCCCAUAUCCAGCCGAAGCAAUCCAGUAUAUCAAAACCGACCCUACAGUAACUUUAGUCACUGUCCCUUCCAAACGGUUAGCUUUCCAUAAUCCAGACAGCCAUCUCGAAUUCUUGAAAACAGACGAAGAAGUUGCCUUCACACGCUGGCCUGGAUAAUACGGAAAAUGCCCGUCUUCGAUAAUGUUCUUUCCGACCGGUUUAAGAUGCAACGGGUCGGCUUUCAUUACUUUGCACACAGAACCAUCAUCAAGCUGAACAGUUACAUUAUCGAAAACGUCUUCGAUCCUACCGAGCCAUGGACCAAGUACAACAUGAUCGCCCACAGUGAAAUCCCUAAUGCGCCUCAACUCUUUAGACGGUUUAUCUUCUAGUAUAGUUCCAUCAUGUGCUAAUAAAUCAACAUUGAUAUUAACAUCAACCACGAUACCUAUUUGACCCAUUGGAUCAGAGGCUGAAGAAACAUAGUCGCCGUGUAGAAACCCUCUAUCCACAACUUUCACGUCAUUAGUGCUUUCAGUUGUUUCUGAACCGUUCAUCCAAAACACUCUAAGUUGGUCGACGGUAAGUGGGGUGUGCUUGUAGUCAUUUUCAUCGUUAUUUUCAGCAGCAUUUUCACCAUUGUUGUCUACUGCACCUUCAUCGUUCGAACCAGCACCAUCUUCUUUUUCGUCAUCUUCAUCUUCUUCAUCAUCUUCAUCUUCAUCAUCAUCAUCAGAGCUAUCAGAAUCCGAAUCUCCAGCAACUUCGGUCACUAUUCCAAUCUCAGUGUCGGUUUUGUUUCUCACGACAUCUUGUCUGUAAAUGUACGAGACGUUCUGUAAAUUCUUCAGAAUAUCGCCAGGUUUAUCUCCGUGGCUUGAGUUUGGAUCUAGAUUAACCCCGUUUGAAGACGAAUCACCUUGUUUUGAGGUGACAGUUUCAGAAUCCAUCGUGACCUGUGAAUCACAGAAGAUACCAGUUUAAAAAUCACCAAAUAGAUACAUAUAAUAGCUGCCCUACAUCGAUCGAUGGGUCAAAAACAGUACUAUACGGAAACCUUUUUACGUUUCUUGAGUAGCAAAAAAAUCACUGAGUGAUUCUUUUUCCUACUAAGAGGGCAUCUGAUUCAUUGUGAAAGUAAUAUUACAAUCUCUUUCUCUUGAACACCAUUUCCAGAUUAGAAACUUAGUCCCAUCUCAAAAGGAAAACGAAAACUCAAUGCAUGCAUAUACAGAACAUCCAUAACCCUAAUAUCCAUCUAAUUUCAACUAAACCUUCACAAAGCAUCAUCCAAUAAAGCACAACAGAAAUUUCUGUUCAAAUCUAAAUUGCAGAUUUAGGAAAGCAACUAAAAAGAUAAAUAGUAACACUGAAAAAAAAAAAUCCCUAAGCCAGCUCAAAACUCAUCAUCCAAUGAAACUCGUUACAGCUAGAGAAGAAGCUGAGAAAUAAAUUUCCCAAAAAAAAAAAAAAAAAAAAAAAAAACAAGAUCAAAAUAAAUUGGUACCUACACGAGUCAAAUGAAUAUGCGAAAAUACAUAAAACGAAAUUGUUGCAAUUUGAAAACGCAGCGGAUAUGAUAAAUUAAUGGAUAGCACAGAUCAAUUGGGGGAAUGGGGAGAAGAAUGUUAACAAUCACCUCUGAAAUCGAGCUCAAGGCGCAAAAUUGAUCGAUUGAAAAUGGAAAAAAAAAAAAAGAAAAAUUAAUGAGAAAACGAGCGGCUCUCUUCGUUUAUUCUAAUAGUCGUGGAACAAAUGUUUAUAUAUAGUGUUCAGAGGAAAUGUUCCGUGGUGUGGUAUCAUCACGCGCCGCCUACAGGCUAUCACGGUGGGUUUAGGGGCUUUCUUGUCUUUUUAAAGUAUAGUUAAAUAUUAAUUAGAAUUUAGAAAUUAAUCCUUAAAAUAAAUGAUAUAACACAGUUCGGCCCAAACAUUAUUGGGCUCACCUAAUUAACCAUACUCGUCCUGAUGAGUAUUUAGGUCUGAAUUCAUGUGGCCCAAAAUUCACUCCAAAUAUAUCUUGGGGUAAAAUACGGUCACCCCCUCAUGUAAGGUCAAAUUAUGAAGAAAAAAAAACUCCAUGUUAGGGUAAUUACAACCAUUCCCUCAACUAUGAAUUUUUUUACACGUUGACUCUUGCAGUGUCAAAUUUAGUAGAAUAUUCUAAAUUAUGUGGAAUAUUCUUCAUUUUGUACUCGCUAGAAUAUUCUAAAUUAUGUGCAAUUUUCUUCAUUUUGUACUCGUUUGACCCCAUUCGAGCUCCACAUGUUGAAACAAGAUGAUCAUAAGAUGUUCUCUUGGCAUGUAAAUAUCAGAUUGUGGUUUUUUUGAAACUGCAUUUUUUGCACAAAACGAGUACAAACUAGAGAACAUUCCACGAAAUCUAGAAGAUUAUGUUGAAUUCGACACCAUAAUGGUGGACCUAUAAGAAAAUUCAUAACUGGGGGUACUUGUAAUAACCCAAACAUGAAGGGAUUUUUCUGUAAUUUGACCUUACUUUAGAGGAGUGGCCUUAAUUUAUCCUAUAUUUUAGUAGCUUUCAAUAUUAAUUUAUUUUUAAGAGAGAACAGUGUUUUCCAAAAUGAAAACAAAUUUUGCUUUCAAAUUUAUAAAUUCUUUUAGUGUACGCAAUAUUUGAAACAGUAGUCCGAAAGCAACAAAUCAACCCUCGUUAGGAGAGUUGCUACGUAACAUUUAGCCUAAUUAUAAAGGUUUAAUUUGUGUUUCUCUCCUAUUAAUUAGCCCUAUAAGUGGGCUAAUUUACGGGCUUUUUUAUCGGGUUGGGCUCUUCAAUGAACUUAUGGGUUUUAAUUUAAUAUGAAACAAAUUGUUUUCCUAUAUAAAAAAAGCCCAUUUAGUUAACAUAUUAUCUCAUUAACACACAAUCACACACAUAAAUAUGUAAAACCUGUAUUGGAUAAAUACACAUCGACAAUGAGAUUACACAUAGUCAAGUUUAUGAGGUGUAAAUACUAAUAGACUAAAUUUAUUGAUAAAUGAAAAAUGAGAUUCAUUGUAUAUUUCGCAAUCCCUAUCGUAUAAUAUAGUUUAAGUACUUUGACUAUUUUAUAAAAUUUCCAUACACAAUUAAUAUCAAAAAAUACAAAUUUCAUGUGAUAGUUACAUUACAUGACAUCGUAUUUUAAUUAAUAAUGCAUGAGUAUGAUGACUUUUAGACAAUGAAAUUGAAGGGUCUGAUUUUGGAUAAAUUAAAAUGACAGUUGGCCCUUGAACAAUUAAUUAGUGGAUUUUAUAUAUUGUAUAUGGGGCCAAAAUAGUAUUAUUUUUUUGAAAUUUCGAUAACUAUUUUACCAGUUCAUAGUUGAACUUGAACAUUACGUAGUUGCAUACGAGUUUUUUUUCUUUCUUUUUCGAUAUAUUUUUGUUAUGCAUCACAUGUGCAUAAUAAAAUAACAAGGAUAAAUUACGUAAAACCCCUGAAGUUAGGCUAAAUUACAUAAAAACACCCUGCCUAUCCUUAAUUAUUGAAUAUAAUUUAAUGAUUUUUAUUAACAGGAACGAGGUUCUAGAAUACAAAAUAAAAUAAAUAAUUGCACACUGACGCAAGUGAUGAUGGAAAUGUAAAAAAAAAAAAAGUGUAUAUAAACGUUUUUAUGUGACUAUUUUUCUAGAAAUAAAAUUAAAUUAUUAAUAGUUUAUUAUAGAAACAAGACAAUAUAUGAAGGGUUGCUUGGUAAAGAGUAGCUAUCAGUUGAUAUGCAAGAAACUGGGGCUUUUUAUUUGACCAGAAAGGUCAGUUUUAUUGCAUUAUAAUUUAUCACUGGUCAAACUGAUGUUACAUAUAAUUAAAUAUUAAAUUGAUCCCAUUUACAUAGGGUACUAUAUACAUUAUAUAUUAAUUAUUAGGUUUCUCUUAAUUUCAAUUUUAUAUAUAUCUUUAUAUAUUAUUAUUGGUGAAAAUCAUUCUUAGGACGGCCUUAACCAAUUUAAGUCACACUCAAUCAAAUCAAUACGCGGUUAAUUCCUAACCUCAAAUACCAUAUUGGAUUAACUAAUAUAACUAAUUCGCUAUUUUCAAAGUUAGGUUCAAGUCUUCAUAUAUUUUAGAUUGUGCAAUAUGGAUACGAGAACGCGAACACGAUGUAAUGGGGAAACAGACAGUGUGAAACUCUAUUUUUCAAAAAGUGGGAUACGAGAAUAUGGGAGAAACGUGUAAAGAUUAUUAAAACGUUUAGCUUACAUAUUUAUCGGUCAAUUACAUAUUUGUAUCUACAAAUUAUAUAUAAUUUACAAUUUCCAAUCCGAAUUAUCAUUCUACAUAUUACAUUUGGGGCAUAUAAAUUUAUUUUAGUAUGAAAUCAGCAUCUAAAAAAAUAUUAAAACACCAUUUGAAGAGAAAAGGAUUUUUUAUUUUCUUUUUUUGGAAACUUUUAAAUAUUUACGAAAACAACCCCAAAACUUUUAAAUAUCUACAAAAACCCCAAAACUUUUAAAUAUUUAUGGAAAUGACCCCAAAACUUUGAAAUAUUAUACGAAAACGACCCAAAAUGUUUCCUGUAAUGGCAUUUCAAUUUCCGAAAUGUGGAAACGUGUGUGCAUAGAACAUAGAAGUUUCCUGCAUCAUAUAAUAAUUUCCGUUGAUUGCUUUUUGCGGUUUGAAAAUUGCUAUUUGCGGUUUUUAACAAAACCCCCCAAAAAACACUUUAUUUCACUAAAACCCCAAAACUUUCCAAAAAAAUCCAAAAAACCCACCCAAAACACGUAAAAGCCCAACUUGGGCGCCCAUUCAUGCAGUGCACGCCCAAGUUGGGCGUGCAAGCUGCAUUUGGGCACCCGAGUUGGGCGUCCAAUGCAAAAAUUUUUUUUUUUUUUUUUUUUUUUUUAAAUGUUCGAACGCCCAUCUUGGGCGUUUGACCAUUUUUUUGCGAAGAAAAAAGCCCUACAAAUCGAUUUGUAGGGCUUUUUAACAUGAAAUUGGUUCCGUAAUCGACCUACCCAAUGCAUAUUACACAUAAAAGAGUCGAAAUUACAUCAAAAAAUCGAAGCCCAACCCUUCUUCAAGCUUGAUUUCGAAUUUUCAAAUUUUUUUUUUUCUUUUUUUUUACUAUUUGCAGUUUUGGGGGAUUUUUUGAUAUUUUUAAAAGUUUUGGGGGGUUUUGUUAAAAACCGCGAAUAGCAAUUUUGUGACCGCAAAUAGCAUUUCCGUUUUAUAUUUAUGGUAAUGAAUCAAUUGAGUUUGCCUAAAGAAGCAUAUGAUGUAAUGGAUUAGGAGUUAUUAAAUGCAUUAUAGCUAUAGGGUUUUUUUUUCUUGAUUAUUCUAAUUUGAAGCUGUAUACUCUCAAUUUCUUUUUUAAUGAAUUAUUGAUUCUGAGUUGGAUAAUCAUUUCAAACUAUUUAUUAUUUGAUGUGUGUUACUACUAUUUACCCUUGUAUUAACCUAAUAAUAAUAAUAAUAAUGAAUAAAAAGGGGCUCCAUGUAAUAAAUGCAGCAUAUAAAUAAAGACCAAGUCCAUAGUUUAUUUGAUUAAUAAUGAAGAAAAGAGUUGUCAUAGAUUCAGGUAGAACAACAUUAUCCUUGUGAGUCCAUUUCUAGGUGGUGGUUAAGAUAAGGGCAACCCCCAAUACAUGAUCUCUCGGUCGUGCGUUUUUUUUUUUUUUUUAAUAAUAUAAUCAAAAAAUAAAAUAAAAUAAAAAAUCAUUGUCUAUUUUCCAAAAUUUAUCAAGGUCCCAUGAGCCCUUUUUUUCCUAGAUAUUGAUUGUCGAUUUCUAAUAAAUGUUGUGUAGGAAGUAUAAUAUUGCUUGACGACCGAUUGAUUUUAGAAAUGCUGGUAGCACUUGAGAUCCUAUAAAUAGUAAAAUAAUUGAUAGAAAUUAUCUAAUAAAUCAAGAUAAGUAUUAGUUCUUUUGAGUGGGCUCUCAAAAAAAUAUUUCACUAAUCAAAUUAAAAUCAAGAUCCAAUUAUUCUUUAUUUAUCUAGAUUUAACAAUGUCCUAAAGAUUUUCUUUAUUCUAAAUUUUGAAUAUUGAUUAAAUAGAUUUAUGUAGAGGAUGAGGAAGUAUAGAAAAAUAAUGGAAGCCACAAAUAGGAAGGGCUAAGAUAAAUAGGUAACUGUGUGUAGAAUUUGGUAACAGUCCAAUCAGAAGAAUGGGGCACUUAUUUAGUGGACUUGCUGAAAUACACUUGUUGUUAGGUAUGUGUUUGUAUUUUAUUUUGAUUUUAUUAAAUACCAAUUAUUAUUUUUUUUUGUCCCCAAAAUAUAUUAAUAAUAUUAUCUUAACUUACUCAUUGGAUAAUAAUUUUUAUUAAACAAAAUAAUGGUUUAAUCCUACUUUACAGUUUACACCAUGAAAUGUGGCAUUUUGGCAUUUUGCACCCUUGAAAAAAAUUAAUAGCAUCUUUCUCCCUCAAAAUACAUUAAAUUGCUAUUGGUGGGGUGCAUUAUGCAUGAUUCAUUGUGUUUCGAGGGUGCAAAGUGCUAUAAUUUUUGUUUUGAGAAUGCAAAGUGCCAAAAAAAACUAUAUUUCAAGGGUGCAACGUUUACUUCAAUCCCACUCAACGCAACUCGCAAGUGUUGCAUUUUUUUUUACCCAAAUUUUCCUAUCUUCGUAUAAAAAUAAUAACGAAAAAAAAUCUUACUAUUACAAAUAAUUAAUUGAUUUAAUGUGAAAUAAUAAUGCAUAAAUCGAUUUUAGCACUUGAUUUUAUUAUGACUUGUGAGAAGAUAAACCAAAAGAAAAAAGUAAUGCUCCAAGAUAUUUUGGGUAUUUAAAAAAAAAUAUCCUUAUAAAUGACCAUUACAUUAUUACAUUAUCUUUAAUAAUUUAGAAAUUUAAAAUGUGAUAAAUAUAUGGAGGUAAAAAAAAAAAGUAAAUAAUAAAAGUAAAAAGAGAAAGCGUGUUUGGUGAAGUUGGGCAUUUAAUUGAACUUGAGGAAUAUAUAUGUAGAAGAGUUUAGCCAACAAUAGAACACUGUCCACUCAGAUACAGUGGGGCUGAAUAAAUUCGAUGCUGACUGAUUACCAUAAAACAUUAUUACUACUCACAACUUGAAUUUUGAAUACUCCACAUUUUUUCUAUGAUGUUCGAUUUCGGUCUUGUCCUUCUAAUUAUGUUUUUGUUUUUGUCGUUUCGAUUUUGCUUAAAUAUUAUACUCAACUUUAUUAAUACUGAUCUUGAACAUAAGUAAAGCUUAUACAUGUAUAUGUGAUGGAGCAAAAUUUGCACAUCGAUCGUCGGAAAGUUCACUCGACGCUGGAUGUAGGGCCCGCGGUGAUAAACAAGCAAACGAAAAAUGUAAAAAGAGAAAGGACAAUUCAAGAGAGUAUAAAAAGUGUGUUUAUUACUCGUGAUUUACAUUAAUUGCUAAAUUAUUAAUCUUAAUUUACGUAUUUUUCUUAUUUAUUUAGGCAUUAUAUUUUUGAAUUUUCUUUUUCCGACAACUCUUAUUCAGCUCGUUACCUACUCCAUUGAUCGUCUCUUGCAUGUUCGGAUGGGUUGGCAAGCCUGUUAACCGCGUAUCCUAGAUUCAUCGUUUGACGAGCUUGAUACUAACGAUCUUUCUUCCGCUGAACUUCUAAAGAGGCCAUGUAUUCGAUGUACACUGAGUUUCUAGGCUCCAUACAUCCAUAUUGGCCCAUAUGUUUUCGUCCUGACAUUGUCAAUAUGCCCGAUGUGAGAAGUUUGGCCCAAUCUUGUUAAACUGACCCACCGUCAUUAUAUAUAUAAGUAAAAGAACACGAUAAUCAAGGAAUUUCACUUACUAUUUCUAAAUGUUUAAUUAUCUUUUCAAAUGGGGUAAAAAUAUUGGAACUAUGGUAGAAAAUAAGAGUCAUUGAGUAACUUUUAAACUCCUCUAUAAUAACUCCACCGAAUUAGUAAAAGUUAAUGAUGUUUUUUUUAAUAAAAUUUAUUUAAGGUCAAUUAGAUUAUUAAUAAGUCGAAUCAACUUAAUUCGUUUGCACCUAAUCACAAGUCACAUCUAUCAAUCAUGCAUAAGAAAUCAAUGUAGUGAGAUUAUCACAAAAAGUAAUGAUAAUUUGGUUUUAGCAAAGAUUUUCUUAAAAUUAGGAUUACGAAACCUUAAAAUGGCUUCCACCCAAGAUUAAUUAUUGCACUAAUGACCAAAUGACAUAUGCAACAGAAAACCUCCAAUAAAUUGAUUUCAUUCUAAUUGUUUUUCUUAAAUGAAAACAAUGGUUCGUACUUCGUAUUACAGUAAACUUAUUACGUUUCUAAUUAAAUGUCUUUUCAAUUUCUUUUCUUUAUAUUAUCUGUCAUUUUAUAAUUAUAAUAAAUUUAGGGCUAAAUACACUUUGCACCCCUGAAGUAUAGCUCAUGUAACAUUUACCUUCUUAAAGUAUCAUUUGUAACACUUACCCCCUCCACAUUAAUUAUUUUAUAUUUUAAAAUUUAAAAAAUAAUAAACAUAACAAUCUAAUAAUUAAUGGUUCAUAGAAAAUUGAAAAGUAACUAAAAUCAAUUAUUGAAAAAAAUUUAAAAAGUAAUAUAUAUUGGGUAACAAUGAAUGAAAAUAUAUUUAAAAAAAUUAAUGAACUAAAAUAAAUUUAAAUACUUAAGAUUUCUAUUAGUUAUGUAUUGAUUUCUUAAAAUUUAUCGAUAGAGUAUUUUUGAUUAAUUGGUCCAACAACAAUUAGAUGUUAUUUAUUGAAUAAAUAUCCAACGCAAGAUAAUAUUUUUAAAUUUUGAAAUAUUGUAUUUUCAACAGAUAUUUUUAGUUGUAUAAUUUAAUUAUUCUUUUAGUUAUUCCUUUCAAUAAAAUAAUAUUUUUAAGGUGUUCAAAUUUAAAAUACAAAUUAAAGUGUGCUUGAGGGGUAAGUAUUACAAAUAAUACUUUAAGGGGUAAGUGCUACAGGGGGUAUACUUUAGGGAUGCAAACUGUAUUUAACCCUAAAAUUUAUUAUUAUUUUUUGCAACCAAACAUAUAGGUCUUUAUCAACUGUACAUGUAGUGGUGGGAGCAUUUAACAUCUAGCAAUACGAAUUUAGGCAACAUUUUAAAUGAUAAUUGCAAAAAAAGUAAUUACCAAGAGCGGUAAUUAGUGUAAUUCAAAGUAACCACUCACUUAAAUUUGAGUUGUUUUAUUAUUUUAUUUUGGCAAUAAAAGAAUUAAAAAAAAAAAUAGUUUCAAGUGAGAGUUCAUAAAGAAAGCAUUGAUUGAAGCUGAGGAAAUGCAAUUAAAGGACGGCUGAGUAAUCAAAAAAAGUCCAAGCACAAAAAGCUCACACUGAGCUGGUGGCCAUACUUACCCAUUCAUGUUUACGCAAUAUCCUUUUAUUUCACCAUUUUUUUUUAAUUUAAUAAUUUAUUUAGAUAUUUGAUUUUGUAAGAUGAAAAAUAUAUAUAUUUGAUCACACGUAUGUUUCCACGUGUCGCAUAGUAAAAGGCUGGUAGUAGCAUGAAAAACCCAUGCUAAAUGGUAAUUAUUCAACUUCAUUGACAAUUAUUCAUUUACGUGUUUAUACGCUAGAACUAGAAAAAAAUACUACUGUAUUAUUUUUAUAUUUAUUUAUUUAUUAAAUAAUUAAAAUAAAUAUAAAUGAAGGGGAAUUUGGUUUUAAAAUGUUUAAUUUUAUUUUUCUUGUGCUCCUAGCUAGCUAUCUCUUUCCAUAAUGGAGAUGGUAGGUAUAAUUAUUUAUAGUUUCUCUCUCUAGAUUUUCUGUAUCUGGAAGAGAGAGAAAGGGAGAGAGAGAGGGCGUGGAGCCCAAAACUGGUCCUCUGCUUUGCUGGAUCGAAGCUCUCGAUUGUUGGUUUUUAAUGGUGUUUGUCUGCUGAGAUAUACCACAGUUUCAGUUGCCCCAAUCAAACACCACCAUUGCACUACUGUAAUUCUAAUUCAAAUACCAACUCUCUCUCUCUCUCUCUCUCUCUCUACUGUUUCUUCUCUCUCUCUCUCAUCGAUAAUUUCUGUUUUGCAGCUCUGUUUUCUCUCUCCCCCAUUUCUGAGUUUUUCCUUCUUCUUCAAAUACUUCAUCAUCAUCUUCUUGUACUUGUAAUUGCGCACAAACAAAAUUAAGAGAGAGAGAGAACAUUUCGAGUUUGUUGCUUAUUUUAUCUCUUCGAUUUUGUUUUUUGGUUAAAAAAAUCCUUCUGAUUUGAUUGAUCCACAGAUCUAAAGUUUUCCUUCAUUUCCAGAUCUUUCUUCCUCUCAAUCUGCUGUAAAGGUAAACUACUGUAGCAUAUUUAACAGCACCAUUUCACUAUGCGGUUGCUUUUUAUUUGGAAAAUUUGUAGUGUUUGAAUUUCUUAUGCUUUCAGUAGUUUAAUUUUAUUUUUUUAAUUCUAUUUUUGUUUUGGUAGAAUUUGACAAAGAUGAACUGAAUUUUGACCAUCUUCUCUGGUAUUGAUUUGUCUUGGUCAUGGUCAGAGAUCUAUUUUACAACCAUAUUACAUUUAUUGGACUAAUAAUCGAACACCUAAUUUUUGCUUACUUCCACUGCUUAUCAUUUUCGUAGAGGAAUUGAAUUUAUUUUUUCCUUCAACUUCUAAUUCUCUGUUGGUUUUAGGGGUUUAUAUACAGUCAAAUAUCAGGGCACACAUAAGCUUCUGAUUUCAUGUAUGCUAAAGUUACCUCAAGUGGCCAUUACAUGAUACUUUGGAGGGUGUUUUGGAUGAGAUGAGGUAUGUUAUCAGGGCUGAUGGACUUUCUGACGGCCUGUUUUCGGCCGAGGGCGGAUCGGAGUGUUCACACUGGUUCGGAUUCUAGUGGCCGUAAAGAUGGGCUUCUGUGGUAUAAAGACGCAGGGCAGCAUUCCAAUGGAGAUUUCUCCAUGGCUGUAGUUCAAGCAAAUAAUUUACUAGAGGAUCAGAGCCAGCUCGAGUCUGGUUCUUUGAGUACUAGUGACUCUGGUCCGUACGGCACUUUUGUUGGGGUUUAUGAUGGGCAUGGUGGUCCCGAGACCUCUCGUUUCAUCAAUGAUCAGCUCUUUCAACAUCUAAAGAGUAAGUCCGUAUAAUUUUAUUUUUAUUUAUUUUUUGUAGGAUAAAUUGAUUCAUUUAGUAUGUUGAUGUGAAAACUUGAAACUGAUGAAUGAUAUGUAUCCAUUAUAAGGUGGUGUUCUUCAAAAUGCUUUUGAAAAAGAAUAGGUGUUGGUGGUUAUGUGUGAAGUUUGGAAUGAUUGCUUAUUUCUGAAAUCUGAGGGUGUUUGCAGUUGUCUUGAAACAUCAAACUUUAAGCCGUCGAUUUAUAAGUUGACGUGUUUAAUUUUCGAUUUUCUUUUUUUUGGUAAAAAGUAUCUUAGAUUUUGUCCUUAUAUAUGAAACUGGAUUUUGAUAAAAAUAACAAGAGCACAAAUGUCCAAUGCAACUUUUAGCUCCAAAAAGUUGAUGAAGAGAUGCUUUUGAGAUUACAGCUUAACACAAAUUAUUUUAUAACACAAACACUAAAAAAACCUCCUAUUUUGGAUCUUCAUGUAAUAUAUCAUGUAGUUGGUUAGGAUUGGUGGUUUUGAUUUCUUAGAGGUGAAAUUGGUGCAGGGUUCACAGCAGAGCAUCAAUCUAUGUCAGUGGAGGUCAUUCGAAAGGCAUUUCAAGCAACUGAAGAUGGGUUUCUCUCAGUUGUGAGCAGACAAUGGCCCAUGAAACCACAGAUUGCAGCCGUUGGAUCUUGCUGCCUUGUUGGAAUAAUCUGCGGUGGGAUUCUUUAUAUCGCUAAUCUCGGAGAUUCUCGUGCUGUCCUAGGGAGGCUUGUCAAGGCCACAGGAGAAGUGCUUGCUAUUCAACUCUCGGCAGAGCAUAAUGCUUGCUUCGAGUCUGUGAGACAGGAGCUGCAUUCUAUGCACCCCGAUGAUCCGCAUAUUGUGGUUUUGAAGCAUAACGUUUGGCGAGUAAAGGGUCUCAUACAGGUCGGUUUUUAUCCAUUUUCUGGUAGCCUUUUCAUUAUUAGAUCAAGAUUCACCCUCNNNNNNNNNNNNNNNNNNNNNNNNNNNNNNNNNNNNNNNNNNNNNNNNNNNNNNNNNNNNNNNNNNNNNNNNNNNNNNNNNNNNNNNNNNNNNNNNNNNNUGUCUUCCAUAAAUUAUGUGUGACUUUGAGAUUCCGACCAAUAAUUGCACUUUCUACAAUUGCCUUGUUAUUCUGAAUUAGUUUGAGAGAGAAUUAGUGGAAAUAUACUUAACCAGAAGGGUAUUCCAGUACUUUUCCUAUAUGACUUCCCAAUUCUUGAGUUUGAUUCUCCUAUUUCAUCACUAUUUGCCACAGGGUAGCGCUAGGAGAUUAGUGAAGACGGCAUUACAAGAAGCUGCAAAGAAAAGGGAGAUGAGAUAUUCGGAUUUGAAGAAAAUCGACAGAGGGGUACGUCGUCAUUUCCACGACGACAUCACAGUGGUAGUGGUAUUUCUGGACUCGCAUCUUGUGAGCAGGGCUAGUUCGGUCAGAGGGGGUCCCAACAUAUCUGUGAAAGGCGGUGGCAUCACUUUACCCACCAAUACUCUUGCACCAUGCACCACUCCAACAUAGCUGUCUCUGAAGCUGUUAUUACCUGCUUUGUACUACUCUGUUCUUGUCUGAAUUGAAUUUACAGGUAGCUUCUUGAAAGAGAGACAAUAGACCAGAACCUUGGAUUCUUUAAUGUACACCGUAACCCGUUUUUAACUGAAGACUGAUGAUAAUACUUUGGCAUAGUUCAACUGCCCAAGAGAGAGGAAGAGAGAGAGAGAGAGAGAGAGAGGAUGGAGAAGGUGAAAAGUUGAAGGUGAUAUUCGUCGUAGUUAUGUGUUUUCUUUCUGGGGCAGAUGUUUCGAACCCAUGUUGUCUUCCGUUUUAUUAUUUGAUCGAAAAUUCACUUUUGUAAAUCCCGUUGGAGACGAGUGAAGCAUAUUAUAAAAGCUGAAAGUGGAUAAGCAGAAAGUUAUAUAUGUUGCCAUUUUUUUCUCUAUACAUAUUUUGCAUAUUUUUGGGUUUUGUUCUUUCCUGGAUUUUAGUUCUUAUUUAGCUUUGUUUGAUUAGUAUGAUUAGCUAUUAUUAAUUGAAUAAUUAAAUUUUAUUUGAUGUAUCGGUAGUCCUAUAGUUUUUCGGACAUGCUCGCACGCAAUUAUGUAAGAAAAUGAACUUUUAUAACGGUUUCAUUGAGAAAUGGUGCAAUUUCAUCUUUGCUAUUAAGUCAAUAUUCAUGGUUGAAUGCAAAUAUGAUGAGCAACAUCAAUGAACCUACAAGCUAUUUGAAUGUCAUCAAUGAUCAAACAGUAAUCGAACUGAAAGAAAAUUACGGUUACGAACAUAAUAACUUCCACAAGUAAAAUUUUAUUUACUCGUAUACGUUCUAAAACACAUUAUAUUUCCACAUUGUAUAUAACAACAGCUAUCAACAUAUUUUGGCUUCUGUAACUAACUCAAGUACAAUGAGAUCAAAAAUUGCGAGAAAAUUACAAAUUCACUCACUACAGUCGCCGGGGAAUGUAUCCCAACAAACGGGACGAUAUCAACCUGCAACCAGCUCUCCACAGCGGACCCCACCACUGAACCGGCCACAAGCCCUCCAAGUGUUAGUACACUUGCUUUCCCUAUGAUCAAUUUUUUUUAAGAAAUGUAUGAAAAAUCAGUGACCAAAAAAAAAAAAAAAUUGAAUCAGUGACCAAAAGCAAAAAAGAAGCAAAAGGGUCGCUUUUUAUUACCUAAUUUAACAUUUCUCUUUGUCAUGAAAUACAAGGAUGCCCCGAAACUAGCAGCUAAUAAAAGGCCGGGAGCAUUGUCUUGGUACGAAGAUGAAGAGGCUCCGCUCACGUAUGUUAAGACCACGAGAGCUCCGUACACCCCAGCUUGCAGGGGUAAGUCUUUAGUAGACGGUGAUUCAACUGAUAUCGCCAUGAAGUUUACGGAACUCUGCAGCCAUUUAGGCAUUGACCCUGAUUUUUUAGAAGUAUUUACGGGUUUGACAUCAGCAUAACGGAUCCCGCUAUUAACAACUCUACCUGCUCUGCGUUGUGAUAAGCUCUGCAUUAGCAACAUAUCGUAUGCAGUCUCUACCUGUAAAAUAGACAACCCGUAUUCAUUAAUUCGUGUCAUAUUUAACUUCUUUCUUUUUAUGCUCGGAUUUUUCUUUAGCCAAGUAGAAGAAAAAGAAAGUAAUGAGACGAACGAUGGUUUAUUAAGCCUUCUAUAGUUGAGUUCGGAAAAAAAGAAGCGAAAUUAAAGAUUACAUAGGAGGUUGAUUUGAUCCAUUAAAAAAACAGUUAUAUUAGUGUCGUGGUUAACAAAUAACAACCCACCGACGAAGAAAUCAACAAGCAUUGAGCAUAAUGAAGAGGAACUAAAAUAUUAUUAAUCUCUGAGUUUCUCAACAGGGCUUUUUAGGACAACUAGUUUCUAAAUAAAACAUCGUAAAAGAGACCACCUUGAACAUUAAUCAUUUGACAAAUCAUCACAUUUAAGACAAAAAAGUAGGCGCAGUAAAACCAUAUUCAAGGACCAUUAUCAUCUAGAAUCGAAGGGUAUGUUCAUAUGCCAUACAAAAUUUCAAGAAUCGCAUAUAAAAAAUCGGGUUUGUGGAGACUUGACAACAGGGCUGAAAAUCAAACCAAGCUACUUGAUACGUUGAUUCGAUUUGAGAUCGUUCUCUUAAAGUUAGUUGGAGCUCGAUUAAUUAACAUAACGAAAACUUGAACACAUAUUUUCGGCUAUAGAUCAAGCUCGAUUCGGAAAAAAAGAUAAAACACGAAUUAAGCUACUCGAGCUCAAUUCAUGCUCUAACUCGAUUACUAAUCAAACCAAACUCAAACACAACUUUGAAAGCUCGAUAAAAUUGAAAUAAGCUUGAACAAACACGUGCUCGGGUCGACUUGAUUACGUUUACACCCCCAAAUCAAUAACACAAUGUUUCCUAAAAAUAGAUGCUCACGUGCUUAUAAUAUAUAAACUGAUCAUUCAAUAAAAAAACCCCCAAAUCUAAAAAAUAAAAUAAAUGCAAAAAAAGAAAGUAAGAACCUGAGCAACUGCUUGUUCGUCAUCUUUACAUGAAGCAAUAACAGAAUUCUUGGCUCGGAGAAUAUCCUCAAAAGAUGCUCCCUCAGAUACCCCCAAUAAUUUGAGGGCGUUCUCCACCGACAUCUCCAACGGCGCAGAGUCGUCGGCUCGUGAGCUAGCUCGCAGCGGUGGGGCUAAUAGGCGGCGCCUGAACUGUGGGCGGCGGUUCAGGUUAAGCAUCUGAGUGACCGGAGAUAGUCUGGAUUGGGUCGAACCGCCCGGUCUUCCGCCGGCGAUGUAGCGGUUGGGCCGGACCGAGAGGGCUGUGGCCAUCUUUCACUGCGUGUGUGUGUGUGUGAAGAAGGGAACUGUUUUUUAACGGCUGAGAUUAAAAGUUUCCGGCAAUGUGAAAAAUUGUACAGAUUUUAUGUACGAUUUCAUAAUUAUAUGUGGUUAUUAAUUUUUUAUUUAGAUAUUUUCAUUUAUUCGCAUAUAAUAAAAAAUAUUAAUUGUUAUUUAGUUAAUUAUUUAAGCUGUCUUGUCACAGUGGGUCCCAAUCAGUUAGAAAAUGACACGUGGCACACUUAUCCAACGUGAGAUCUGGACGAAUACACCCCUUACUGCUCAUCACAUUUUACACGGGCCAACCAUCUGCCAGCUGGUGAUUAUUUUGUUGUACUCCUCCAGCAUUAAAAAAUUGCCAUAAUUUUACAGCGGCAGUAAAUCACGCUUCAAGAGUUGUACGCUCCAGUAUUUCAAUUGCGCUCGUAAAUAUUGGUAACUGUUAAAUUGUUGAUAAAAAGAAAAAGUCUUCACAUUAUACACGAUUUCAAAAUAGACAGUGAUAAAUAAUUUUAUUCCGAUCGUCAGAUCUCAGUUCCUCCUCUUCUUCUUCAGUUUUCUCUAGGUAUUGAGAAACAGCAAAAAGGUAUGUGACUUUUCAGAUCCAAAUUGGUGCAUAUUCAGUUUCUUUCAAUUGGUUCAUACAAUUUAGAUUUUUUUUUUUAAUUUUGUUUUUUUGAUUUUAAUUUUUUUGGUGUAUGUGAGUAUCAAAUCAGCUUCGUUUUGCUUGGAUUGAGUUAUAAUUGGCACAUUUAAGGCUUAUAUUAGCACCAGCUACUGCGUUUGCGGGUAUAUGGUUGAGUUGAGAAUAUGAAUCCGAUCCAUCUUUUUUUAGUUUAUGCGCAUGAUUUGUGAGGCGGUUUUUCCAUUGUCACGUGGUUCGCUGAUUGCUGCUUUUAGGUUAACAAUUUAGCGGAAUAAAUAGUAGAAGUUCCUGUAAUGAUCGUCUUGCCGUAAUCGAAUGUCAGUGUCAGUUUUAACGGACUUAGUUAGUAGGAAAGGAUAGAGAUGCACUUGCUGAGAUCCUGUUUUUGGAAUCGGGACACCUAAUAGAAAAAAAGGAAAGCUCUAUCGAAUUCGAGUUUGACCACAGUAAGAAUUUAUCAAAAAAAUGAUCAAGGGUAUCAAAUGUUGAACUUUACGAGGGAUUUGGCACUGAAGUAUAUAAUUAAGGGACUAACGACGGAGACGUUUUGUGAAAUUGGCAUAUUAAUGAGAUACGGGAAGUAGGGUGUAGUUCAUGUUAGAGAUUUCUAGUUCAGUUUUGUUGUUUGGAGUGAUCUGAAACUCAAUGCAACUAAAUUUGGUUGCUUCAAGUAGAAUUUAGCCCUCUCUCUCUCUCUCUCUCUCUCUCAAAAUUUCUUAUGCAAUCUGAAAUUGUGUGAUUCUUUUUUUGUAGGUUAUGGGUGGAGCACAAAAAAAUACUGACAUGGAGGAAGGAACUCUAGAGAUUGGAAUGGGUAUGCUAUCGUCAUAAUUAGUCAUCUCCCUGUUACUUAAAUAUAUAGAUGCGUGUGUACAUCUACGCAUAUACAUCUGUGAUGUCUGAUUUUAAAAUCCAAAUGUUGUCAAAUGGUGACAAUUACCCUUGUGAUAUAUAUAAUAUGGAUAAUGAACUAGAGUGUUUUAAAUUGUUGGAUGCGUAAGUCUCCCUAAAGCAUGAUAGAGUCUUGAUUAGGAUUGUACAUUCACACUGUAACAGAAUGUAAUGAUUAGAAAUCUAUGAAUUCCACUAAGCUUUCAUCUGACAUUGCACUGAUAUCACUUAGAAGGUAAACAAGAAGUAAAAGUUAGUACAGGACCAUAUAAAUAUUCUCUUGAUUCCUUUUUUUCUUCCCCUUUUCAGAAUACAGGACUGUCUCUGGUGUUGCUGGACCUCUGGUUAUCCUUGACAAAGUCAAGGUAAAUGCUGUACUUUUUUUGUGUGUUUAAGCAUCUAAUAUGCUUCUCUAGGCCUUUAUGAAUAUGGAUCUAGGAACAGGAUCAUUUAUAUGUUAACUAUGUCAGGGGCCCAAGUACCAGGAAAUUGUCAAUAUUCGCUUAGGAGAUGGAACAACCCGACGUGGGCAAGUAUUGGAGGUUGAUGGGGAGAAGGCUGUUGUUCAGGUGAGCACCCUCAAAUCUUCUUUCUCUUUUGAUUUUCAGCCUCUUGUGAAGAAGCCAAAUGGAUUUUUGAUUCCUUUGCUCCUUCAGAGUUUCAGCGACACAUAUCCUCUUCCUUGAACUGUUUAAAUGUCGUUUUCUUAUAAUGAUUACAUAGUACUUCUACUUCUUUAACGAUUUCAUUUUUCCUUUGUUCUUUAACCAGGUUUUCGAAGGAACAUCUGGCAUUGACAACAAAUAUACAACUGUCCAGUUCACUGGGGAGGUACAGUCAUUUGCACUUGCUGUUAUCUGUUGAAAUUGGGUUCAAAUUGAUGAUCCUGAACAGUGCUAGAUUAAUGGUUAUGGUCUAUAAGUUUUUCCCAGGCAUUUCCAAUCUUGAAAAUGCUGAUUAUGUUGUUUUCUUUCUGAAGUUUAAAAUGCAUUUAUAUUUUUAUGUAAUGACAUUAGAUAGUGGUGCAAUUUUGAAUUCCUAGAAGCACUGAAGUUGUAUUUCUUUGUUCUUUUGUUGUUAUGAACACUCAUUCUUAAGAAUUUGGUUUCUCAACUUGUUUACAGGUUUUAAAGACACCUGUCUCCUUGGACAUGCUUGGUCGUAUUUUCAAUGGUUCUGGAAAACCUAUUGACAACGGCCCACCUAUUCUCCCUGAGGCUUACUUGGAUAUAUCUGGCAAGUGUCAAUGGCGUAGAGAGAAUUGUCUUUUUCUAUACACAUCGCCUGCCCACAUUUGAUUUAUACUGUACCCUCUUUGUGCAGGGAGUUCCAUCAAUCCUAGUGAGAGAACCUAUCCUGAAGAAAUGAUACAGACUGGAAUUUCAACUAUUGAUGUCAUGAACUCAAUUGCCAGAGGACAGAAAAUUCCUCUUUUCUCCGCUGCUGGUCUUCCCCACAAUGAAAUAGCUGCCCAGAUCUGUCGUCAGGCUGGUUUGGUGAAACGUUUGGAGAAAACAGAGAAUCUUCUCGAGGUAUGUUGUCACCGCGUAAAUUUUUUCCCUUCAUAAACAUGAUUCUUACGAUCUACUCUAUACUACAGGAUGGUGAAGAGGACAAUUUCGCCAUUGUCUUUGCAGCUAUGGGAGUGAACAUGGAGACAGCACAGUUCUUCAAACGUGAUUUUGAGGAAAAUGGAUCCAUGGAGAGAGUGACCCUUUUCUUAAACUUGGUAAUGAUGCUAAUAACAUUCUAUUAAAUCAUCAAGCUUUUGUUUUAAAUAAUGGGUCAAGAUGCCUCCUGUUUCUGAAGUAAGUUUUCUGCAGGCCAACGACCCAACAAUUGAACGCAUUAUUACUCCUCGUAUUGCUCUGACAACUGCAGAAUACUUAGCAUAUGAAUGUGGGAAGCAUGUCCUUGUCAUAUUGACAGAUAUGAGUUCUUAUGCUGAUGCUCUUCGUGAGGUAACAUCAUCAUGAAUUUCCUGAUUUAUCAGCUAUACGAACUGAUAAACUGGGUUUGUUUAAAAUUUAUUUGAAGGACUUCACAUCCUAAAGGCUAAAGGUUUCAAGUAAAUUAAUUAAAAAACUAUAGGCUAAAGGUUUGCUUCUUAGGUGUCUGCUGCUCGAGAGGAAGUGCCUGGAAGGCGUGGAUAUCCUGGUUAUAUGUACACCGAUCUGGCAACUAUCUAUGAGCGAGCUGGACGAAUUGAAGGAAGAAAGGGUUCCAUUACUCAAAUUCCUAUUUUAACCAUGCCUAAUGAUGGUAAUACAUCUAUCAACAUUCUACUUUAGCCAUCUAGCAAUUUCACCUUUUUUUUUUCCCUAUUGCAAUUUUGAAUUGAUCUUGUUCUCUUUCAAUUGGUCAGACAUUACACAUCCGACCCCAGAUCUUACGGGUUAUAUUACUGAAGGGCAGAUAUAUGUCGACAGGCAACUUCAAAAUAGACAGGUAAAGAGAGCAAUUAGGGCUAUUUUUUGUCCAAAAUUUUUAAGAACAUGUCUUUUGUAUAAACUAUAUUUCCCUUUGUAAUAUUGAAAAUGUUGGGGUCUCGUCACUUUUCGCAUGGUGCAUCUUUUAGAUGUUCGUCCCUCUUUAUUUGUUGUGUCAAAAUAAUCACUAAAAUGAUAUCUGUGUGAAUCGACAGAUAUACCCUCCAAUCAACGUGCUUCCAUCCCUGUCUCGUCUAAUGAAGGUAAUUUGAUUCGGUGCUCAAAAAAUGUUUGGUUUUAUUCAUGUGAGAGAAAUUAUAAAGGAUAAUUAGGGUUCCAUAACUGCUGCUUCAAUAUACUGCAGAGUGCCAUUGGUGAGGGCAUGACCCGUAGGGAUCAUUCCGAUGUGUCUAACCAGGUAAACUAUCUAAAUUUAUUUUGCAGAAGUAAUCCCAAUUACUUAAUGCUACAUUUCACUACUAAUUUUUCUUUAUUUCAUAUUUUUCCAGCUGUAUGCAAACUAUGCCAUUGGUAAGGAUGUCCAAGCAAUGAAAGCUGUGGUUGGAGAAGAGGCACUUUCCUCAGAGGAUCUGGUCCGUUAUCUGUCUCCCUAAUUUCUCUAUUUGUAUUAUUAAUUUCAUGCGGUAAACACCAAUUUAGAUUACUAACAAUACACAUGGAUAUAUACAGCUAUAUCUCGAGUUCCUUGACAAAUUCGAGAGGAAGUUUGUUGCCCAAGGGGCAUACGACACCCGCAACAUUUUCCAAUCACUCGAUUUGGCGUGGACACUGCUCAGAAUCUUCCCCCGUGAGCUUCUUCACCGUAUUCCGGCAAAGACUCUCGACCAAUUCUACAGCAGGGAUGCUUCCAACUGAUGAGAGAGAGAUAUAUAUAUAUUCGGUUUUUUUUUUAUGCGGUUUGAGAUACAUUUCUUGACAUAUAUUUAUUUAUAUUCUUUGAAAAGAGAACCAGUUUAUUCAUUUAUGUAUUAUUGUGUUCGGUCUUGAUGAGUGGUGCUUUUGGGAUCCUUAAGUUGAAUUUUCGAUACCUUUUUUUGUGGUUUCGACCGUUAAAGCGAAGCGACUGCGUUAUAUUGUUUCCUGGAGAUGUAUGCCUGUUGAGAAUUGGUUAUGUACCUCUAUGUUUUAAUUUAAUAAAUGAGGAUUUCUUCUGUACCUUUCUGCCUUUCCGAGUUCCGAUUGGAGAUUUCGAACCGUUCCGUAGUUUUUGGGUUCGUGCAGAACAACACGAACUUCAUAAAAAAAUAAACACCAACUGCAGUCAUGUUGUAGGAUGCAAACAAAGAGACUUUUUUUAAUCAAAUAAUAUUAAAUUAUACUAAAAAUUAAAAAGGGUAAAUUACAACCACCCUAGGUAUGGUCAAUUUACGGAAAAACCCCUCUUGUUUGGAUAAUUACAUCUAACCCCCUCAACUAUGAUUUUUUCUUACAUCUCCACCCUUACGGUGUCAAAUUCAACAUAAUCAUCUAGGUUUCGUGGAAUGUGCUCUAGUUUGUACUCGUUUUGUUUAAAAAUACAGUUUCUGAUGCACCACAAUCUGAUAUAUAUAAGCAAAAAAAUACAUAUUAUGAUCAUCUUGCUUCAAAAUGUGGAGUUCGAAUAGGAUAAAACGGGUACAAAAGUGAUAAUCUUUCAUAUAAUCUCGAAGAUUCCACUAAAUUUGAAACCGCAAGGGUGAACGUGUAAAAAAAUUUAUAGUUGAUGGGUGGUUGUAAUUACCCAAACAAGAGGGGUUUUUUUGUAAUUCAACCAUACCUCAGGGGUGGUUGUAAUUUACCCAAUUAAUAAAUAAACAAAUAAUCAGAAUAUACAUAUUUUAUUAAUAAUUAUUUCGGUAACACCCCCAUAUUACUCUUUCCUUGAGCCCACAACAUUAUUUUAAUCCGAACGCCGUCGUUUUUUAAAACAACCCCUUUCUUACCCAAUUCACCUUUACAAUCCUAAUUCCCCUUUUUCUUCAAUUUCUUCUGCGAUCAAAACCCUAAGUCUCGACAAUUUAUUUCCCCCUCCAAAGAAAUCAAUCACCUUUGCAAUCCUAAUCCCCCUUUUCUUCAAUUUCGUGCUCGAUCCAAACCCUAGUUCUUCAAUUUCUUGACAAUUUCACCUGUAUAAAUUUAUAUAUAUAUCUUCUCUCCUCUUUUGAAUAUUAAAGCUUUCUUAUUAUGGAUGUUGAAAUCGACCAUUACAAUGUUCUGGGGCUACCUUCCGGCGAAGAAGGUGCUAAACUCUCCGACCAAGAGAUCACCAAAGGCUAUCGAUCGAAAGCCAGGGAGCUGCACCCCGACAAAAGACCCGACGACCCUCAGGCAAACGCUAAUUUCGUAAAGCUUCAAACUUCGUACGAAGUUCUCAAGGAUGAAAAGGCGAGGAAGUUAUUCGACGACCUACUCAGAGUUAAAAGGGAGAAGCUUGUUCGACAGGGUCAGCACGACUCGAAGCGGAGGAAGAUGAUGUCGGAUCUCGAAGAGAGAGAAAGAUCCGCUUUUGCUGUGGACCCCACCGCUAGAGCUCGAGAAGAGGAGGAGAGAAUUUCCCGUCAAUUGAAGGCGGAGAUUGCUAGGAUUCGUGCAAUGCGUACGAACAAAACGGCAGCUGGUACAACACCUUUCAAGCAGGAAACAACGAGGGGUGAAAAGGAGAGCACGGAUUGUGGAAGUAAUGGAUUGGAUAAGGAGAAGGUACUUAAAGUUUCGUGGGAGAAGAUUGGUGGCGAUUACACUGCGAAGAUGCUUAAAGAAAUUUUCGAAGAAUUUGGCGAUGUAGAAGAUGUGGUUAUCAAGAGUUCGAAGAAGAAAGGGUCGGCUCUUGUAGUAAUGGCGUCUAAAGAUUCUGCUGUAAGCUUUCAUUUUUUUUUUUCACAUGUAUUUGAUUCUUUUGGACUUCAUUGUUUUUUUUUUUGAAUUUCCAAAUUAUUUUUUUAUUUUUUUAAAUUUUUUCAGGUUUCUGCUACUGGGAAUAUGUUGGGUAAUAUAUCGAAUCCGCUCCUAGUUCUGCCGCUUCAACCAGCUCCGUCUCCAGUUGUUUUCAGUCAUGAGAAGAAAAACGAGUCCGAUGGGCCAAAAUUAGGCAAUUUGGUCGGUGCUGGUUAUCAGGCGUUUGAAGAUUCGGUAUUGGAUAAAUUAAAAAAGGUUGGUAUAGAAUUAUAACACCUAUAUUUAAGUUGAGCAGUUCUUUUACAGUGUAAUUGUUAAUUGCUUAUUAAAUGCUUAUUUUUCUUGUUUUUGUUAUACGAUUGGAUUUCUUUUGUAUAGUGUUGUAGUAUCUAUGUUGUGCUGGGGGCUUCUAGUUAAUUGCAAAGUUAAUAUAAAUUUUGUGAGUUUUUACUUUGGGUGGGCGGUCGAUUAUCGAAACAGUAGCAAAAAAGGUCACCAUUGUUUUCUAAUUAUUGUUUUUUUUGUUAAUUGUGGCAGGCUGCUGAGAAGCAAAAGUGACUUGUUAAAGAAUCUUGGAGGAGGUGUGAACAAGAAGAUUAUUUGAUCUGUUUAAAACGCAUAAGGUAUCUCGCAAUGGCUGUAAUUCUAUGUUAUAUUAAUAGAUCUUAUUAUGAUUGAACGAUCAACGUUUGUUCUGUCUGCAUACUCUGUAUUUAUUUUUUCAGUAAUUGAUGCGAAAAUCCAAAUAUUGGUUGGGUAUUUGUUAUUCGAAGUUAUACAUCUAAUUGUUAAAAAAAUUAAUUCAACAAGGUGUAAUAGGGGUAACCGAAACUUUCUUGUGAAAUUUGCAUCAGAAUUGUUUCACAAGAAAAAUCUCCUUACGGUUGUCUGUCUUUUAAUACAUUUCUUCCUUUCUUCUUCUUCUUAUUGUUAUUAUAAAUUUUAUUUAUUUAUUUAUCUUCUAGUUAUAUUGGCGAAUGGCGUGAUUGCUCUAGAGCUAGAGGUGGAAGUGGUGGCUGCACCACCUAUUACUGAUUAUAUCUCCGAACGGAACAGUGCGUUGUGCAUACCUUAAUGUGCAAAAGUCGAUAACGGGGUUUUGAGAUUUUCUUUGCUGCUAAAUACCGGCACCCCCAACCCCCACACUCUGAUGAUUGAAUUUCUGUAUUAUGCAAGAAUUACUAUUAAGUUAGAGUGAAGCAGAUGAAAGUGGCAAGGUAAAAUCAUGUGUGCAUUGCACAAAACAAAGGUUAAUUAGAGGGUAAUACCUGCCAUUUAUUUUAUUUUAUGGUCCAGCGUGUAGAACGAGUUUAGUUGGAGGGUGCAGAAUGCUAAUUAGCCAAGUUAAUAUACUAUGUUGAUAUGCAUUUCUUCAAUUUAUUCACACCAUAAUAAGUAUUCUCCAUUUAAUUCCGUCCAUCACAUAAGACACUAUUUACACGUUUUAAACAACAUAUCUCUUUAUUUUACUCAAUAAUCUACUCCAACUGUGACGUGACCCCCAAUCGUUUAUCCGACUCCGACUUAAUAGUACAUAAUAAUAUUGAUAUCCAAAUGCGACUAUCGAUUUUUUUUUGGAAUGUUCGAAAUUGAAUCGAGAAUACGAAUUUCAUAUAUAGUCCAAUUUAAGUACAAAAAAAAUUCGAUAACAAUUUGAAUGCAUAUAUUUUUUUCUGGAAUUCAGCAUAAAAGACAAUCAUUUUAAAAGAAUAAAAAAAAAAUUGAAUUCCAAUAUACAUCAUGUACAAACAAAAUUUGGAAUGGGUCCGAAAAUAAAACAAAUAAAAGUCUAAUCACAAUAGAAACACACGUGUUCAUCGUGGUAGGUGCCAGCUGUGAGUGGACCCCACACCCCCCAAAAACCGGGGCCCACCCCUCAGAGUCAUGACUCACCUAAAUCACUUAUCGCCAACAACACACACACCCACAUAAAUAAAUAAAUAAAUAAAUAAAUAAAACACAGUCAGCCAGAAUUCUCUUUGCCCAUCAAAUUAAAAUUACAGAAUCUGUAAACCAUAAAUGGUAGAGAUUGUGUAUUAUGGAAAGCUCCUUAAUUAAACCCUUUUAUUUGCCCUUAAAUCUCAUACUUAGCGGUACUGCUAAUUAUCACUACUACAAGUCUACAACAACAAGUAUACAUAGAGAGAGAGAGAGAGAGAGAGAGAGAGAGAGAGAGAGAGAGAGAGAGAUGAUUGCUCUAGAGAGCAGCAUCAGCUACACCAGCUUGAAGGACUUGAUGCCGCCGUCGACCUCUUCUCCGACUGGAAGCUGGAGGGAGAUUCCGAUCAAGGAUCCUCUCCUCCAGCACGCCGCCUGGGCCUACCUUCGUCCGGUGGCUGCGGACCGCGGCGAUGACGGGCGGUGGUGGAGGAGGUUCGCCGAGAAGUUCUGCGGUCUGUUCGUCUGCUUGAACGGCGUCGUUUUGAUGGUGUUUGAGGGCAUGUUCUCCGGUCACGUGAUGAUCAAAGUUUGACUAAUCAGACUUAAGAGAGAGAG
rnacentral:lncRNA from 1 species